rnacentral:misc_RNA from 1 species
GUGAAUCAUCGAAUUUUUGAACGCAAAUUGCACUCUCCUCGGAGAAUAUGCCUGUUUGAGGGUCAGCCUAUAAAAAAUCGACAUCGUUGCUGUUUCGCGGUGGCGUUCGUCGGAAAUUGGGUCAUCUUAAAUCCUUUUGAUUUAAGCGACUUAAAAUUUUCUUUUGGUUCCAUGAACGUCUCUAAGAUCUAUUUCUUAAAAGGUUUAGGGAUUCGUUUUUUCUUAACCUUGCCCAUCUA